rnacentral:rRNA from 1 species
UACGAAGGGAGCUAGCGUUGUUCGGAUUUACUGGGCGUAAAGCGCGUGUAGGUGGCUAUUUAAGUCAGGGGUGAAAUGCCGAAGCUUAACUUCGGAACUGCCUUUGAUACUGGAUAGCUAGAGUUAUGGAGGGGAGAGUGGAAUUGCUUGUGUAGAGGUGAAAUUCGUAGAUAUAAGCAGGAACACCAGUGGCGAAGGCGACUCUCUGGACAUAUACUGACACUCAGACGCGAAAGCGUGGGGAGCAAACAGG